GUUAAGUCCGCUAACGAGCGCAACCCUCGUCGUAUGUUAUAUGUGUCAUACGAGACUGCCGGUAAAAGCCGGAGGAAGGUGAGGAUGAUGUCAAGUCAGCAUGACCUUUAUAUCCAGGGCUACACACACGCUACAAUGGUCUGUACAAUGGGUAGCCAAGCCGCGAGGCGGAGCCAAUCCUGAAAGCAGGCCUCAGUUCAGAUUGCAGUCUGCAACUCGACUGCAUGAAGCCGGAGUUGCUAGUAACCGCAGGUCAGCAAUACUGCGGUGAAUACGUUCCCGGGUCUU
rnacentral:rRNA from 1 species